rnacentral:snoRNA from 1 species
AUUCCACUAUUUUGUCACUUUCUAACUAUCUCCUUAAACCUCUCCCAUGCUUCAAAAACAAUUUCAGUCUCUUUUUGGAAAAAGUUAUGGAUUUCUCUUCUAAACUU